rnacentral:lncRNA from 1 species
CUGCAUAUAAUUUAUAUGUUGACCACAAUAGGAAAAAUAUUACAUAUAACCGUUGUAUGUACAACGGUCUCAUUAUAGCCAUUGAUUAUAGUCAAUACUAUAUAAGUAGGCCAUUGAUUGUAGUCAAUACUAUAUAAGUAGGCCCGUCAUAAUCAACGGUCAAUAUCUAACUAUUAUACAUAGUAUGGUUGUGCGAUAAAAUUUCUCCAUAAGAUGAGAAGACUGAUAAAAUUUCUCCAUAAGAUGAGAAGACUGAUAAAAUUUCUCCAUAAGAUGAGAAGACUAUGCAGUCCCAAAUAGGUAGCAUGUCAAGCAAAAGCAAAAAGCUGCUUGUGUUGUGUUCUCAAAGUCAAAUCACACCAAGUUAGGACACCAUCUCCAAUUCACCUCAAUGACCAUCAGCAGAUCCAACUACCUUUUCAGAGAUAUAACAUUACUAGCAAGUGUCUAUACUAGGUCUAUGCAUAAUUCAUUCAGACAUUUAUGGAAGGCUCCCUUUCAUUCUAACAGUAACCAAAACUCUAAUUGACAAAGAAAUAUGUAAAUUCACCAAAAAAUAAGAACCUCUUGUUAGGGGAUUCCAAAUGCUAUUAUACUCCCUACAUAUAAAAGGAGAUGUGUAGCAAGUUCACAAGUAUUUUGCUUUUCGGAUUAUAACAAACAUUAGAAAAAUUAAGGUCAACAUGGUGGUCAGCUGAAGAUAACAGGCACUAACAACUUAGAAUUUAUAACAGAAGGAAGAAAAAUCAAAGGGAAGAGUCCAGCCAAUCAGCUGCAGGCGAGGAUGACAAGAGAGACAUUCAAAUCAGUUUGUUAGAUGGGACAAACUCCAUAUUGUUAGAGAGGAGAGAAGAGGGCUUAUCAACUAACAAUAAGGGCAAUCAAGGUAGCAUGCAAAUAGAGGAGAAGGGGAAAUAGUUAGGCAUGCUUUUAUAAUGUGGAGUUCUGGAGGCGAGUUGCCUGGGAGAAGAGAUUUUGGUCCUGCUACCUAUUUUCUGUCAUUUGAGCCAGGAUUGGCACCUGUUUGUUUUCUGUUUUUACUUUGGGAACUGUAAUGACUAGCUGUAUGCGAUUUUCUUCCACCAUUAUAAAACAUUUCUCAAUUUCCUUUCAUCAAAAACUGUUUGCCCUUCCUAAUUCCAUCACUUUCAAAUGCUUACCAAUAGUUCCUUUUUCCUAUUUGCUAUAUUAACUAUGACCAUCUUUAUGAAAAUGUAGAAUGAUCCUUCUGUUAGACAGAAACAGAAGGUAAUUUUUUACCAUUCUGCUUACUGUACUCCAUUAUAUAGGAAACCAGAGUUAGUUUACUCUUUCAAAUAGAUUCAUUAAAGAUAAUGUGCAUAUACAACAAAAAACUGAUAGUAUAAAUAAAUAAUAUCUUGUAAAAAAGCAAAAGCAACUAACAAGAAGAAUUGCAAAUACGGAUUGGAUGAAACACCUUACAAUAGAAAUAACUCAACAAAGAAAAGAAUUCAUCCCUCCAUCCAUUGAUCAGUGUUCAUUGUUAAAAUAUCACUUCAUCUCUACACCUUCUUCGGAACAAUUUUGUAGUUUUCUCCGAAUACAAUCUUCACUAUGUUAUAAAUGUAUUAUUAAUUCAUCAGUGGUUGCAUCCGCAGAGAAUCCCUUACUAAUAAGUUGUAAUGCUUUUGGUACAUCCUCAUGCCUGAGAAACAAAUACAAAAUAACAACAAUCAUGUGGUAAACGUCUACCCACUUCCAUUCCUCCAAAGUCCCUGCAUGCUUCAUCUAGUAAUCCUUCACUCCAAAUUCCUGUUAUCAUUGUACUAUAUGUAUAAACAUCAGGUUGUAAACCAUUUUCAAAAAGCCUAGACAAUAGUUUCUGGCAUUAUUAAGCAUUGCAGCUCUGCACGAUGAGGCUUCAAUCGACUCUUUUCCAUCACUUUUAAAUAGUGAGUGCGUCACAAAGAACUCCCUGUUGCACAAGCCAUCAAGAAAAACGGAACAAUUUUUUCUAUCUACUUGGCGACCUUGAGAACAUAACACCUUCAUAAGGCAUUUCAUAAAAAAGUUCUUCACUUCAUCAAUCAUUUUGUUCUCACAAAUAUCCAUUGAUCAAGAUGUUGUAGCUAUUGAAAUUAGCUACGUCAUAACUUAGCAUUUGAUCAAAUACUUUUCUAGCUUCAAUCAUUUGGCUUUUCAAACAAUAUCCAUCCAUCAAUGCAUUGUAACUUGUAAGUAAACACAUCAGGCUUUAUGCCCCAUUGAACCAUCAUAUGGUUGAUCAACAUAUUUAAGGUAUAAACAUCUGGUAAUAUGUUCUGCCCACCAUUUCAUUCAGCAAGGCCAAAGUGAGAUUCAAUUUACCUAAAUUGCAGGGACCAUGAAUUAGGCGUGUGUAAGUGAUAACAUUAGGUGAAACGCCUUUGUGCCUUUGUUCCUCAUUUUAGAGAAGAUGUCUAAAGCCUCAGCAUCUAGCUUAUCCUUGCAAAGAGCAUCAAUGAUUGCAGAGUAUGUCACAACAUUUGGCUCACAACCUCUAUCAACCAUUCAAUUUAACAACCCAAUAACCAAAUUUGUUUUCCCACAUUUACACACAGCAUUUACUAUCACACUGUAAGUAGUAACAUCAGAUUGAUAACCUCCAGCAACCACAUCAUUGAAAAGGUCUACUGCUCUACUGAUUUUACCCUCUUCACACAGCACAUCAAUUAAGGUAGCAAAUGUCACAAUGUUGGGCUCUAAUGUUUUGACGAUUUUUACCAAAAUUGAGUAGCCAAAAUCCACAAGGUGUAAGCAGCAGAAGCAGUUAAUCAAGAUAAAAAGAAAAUAAUAUCGUGUGAGAUUCCUAGAGACUCAAUUUUUUUUGGACAAAGAAAGGACAGUGCUGUGAUGUUUCAUUCUGACAAGAGCAGAUAAAGAUCGAGAAAAUUGAACUAAGAGAAGGCAGAGGAUGGAUAAGAAUGAUGUGAUUAAAGCACCCUAGGGCAUCAUCAACGUCUCUAAAAGGAGCAGAAACAUCAAGCUUGCAUCUUUAUAAGUCUGCGUGGAAUUAAAGGAAUGGAAAGAGUGAAUGAAAUUGGUAGAUAAAAAGAUCGGAGAAUGAGUGGUACCCAUUUCUCUUUGCAGUUGAAAAUGGAAGCAAUGAAUGGUAAACAUUUCCCUUUGCAGUUGAAAAUGGAAGCUCCUCCAAGUGCUCGUGAAAAUGCUUGGCGGCGUCAUUAUCAUCUUCCAACCAAAAACCAUCGUUAUGAGCAAGUUCAUUCUGUUUUUCCUAGUUAUGUUAUGUUAUAGACUUCCCC